CUUGGAGAAAGGGAAAACAAAGGGACACAUUAAAUCAAUCAAAAUGCUGCCUUAAAACUUUCACAGCUUCCUUGCACUUAGCAAUUCUGGGGCUUCAGCCACCAAACAGGUUUUAUUUAAAAAACGAGUGUCCUCAAUUUCCUGCAGUUUGCGUUCCAGGCCCAUCCUCGCUGCCUGCCUUCCCUGCGCACAAGCCGAAGCCCAGGCGAGGGGCAGCAAGCGCGCACAUUCUCUCAGUCGUUCUCUACCACUUCCGUACCCAAGACGUAGGGCGAAAUCUGGUGUCCAGGUCAACCCCUGAAACGGCAAGACGAUCAUUCUCAGACUAAGCUUCCGGAUGCUAGGACCACCAAGAACCCCGAGGCAGAGCCCCCUGCCUCCAAGGCUGACACUCGGGCUGCAGAGACGGAGGGAUACAUUCCAAAGGAAGAGAAAAUGGACUAGGCGCCAAAAGCCUGCAGGGCUGCAGGGCUCCCCAGAGGUGCAAGUUGUCAAGAGUGAGGGCAAAGCAAACCUGAGCUCGAGCAGAGGCAGCUUCCAGAAGACGGGACGUCAAGCCCCAAGGAAACGCACAGGGGAGAAGCGCUGAGACUCAAGAAGGACCCCGGACGGUGCACGAGGGGUGAGAGCACUGGCUCUUAAAUGCCCCCCCCACCCUUCUCCAAAGAAAUGAGGAAAAUCAGACAACGUGCUGAGGUUCUCACGGUGCUCAACGCAUUGUUUUUUUAGGUUAAAACGUCCUCCUUUUAGAUGAAAUGAUCAAGACAGGAGAUGGUUGGGACUGGUUUUUAAUGCCCUUGCUUGGCAAAUGGAAAAGUCGGCGACUCCAUGUGUCACUGCCCAAGACUGGCCUUAGGUCUCGGCCAUGCAAGCUGAGUCCUUGGGAGCCAUCAGACAACACCAGGCGCUGGGCGAAGGGGCCGGAGUGGAGUGGCAGGACUGGCAGAGAUGGGCCGGCGAAACGAUGCCGGGGUCAAGGCUCCAUCUCAGAGGGACGAACUUUACCCUAUGGCUGUGGGAACCCACAGCCCCCCUUUGAAAAAAACUCUGCGAUGAAAUAACCUUAACCAUAUUUUUUAAAACUCUUGGCAGCAGUUUUAAAAAAUCGAUGAUUAGAGGCAUAUAACCCACGCAGGAGGCUACUGCAGUGCAGUCUCAGGGCCCGAGACGAGCCGCGUGGAGGUCAGGAAGACACCUCCCAGGGCCCAACCUGGCUGCGAGCAGCGAGGGCGAAGGUCAGGGAGGUGCUGGGCUUCCCGCUCGGGCCAGAGAGCGGGCCGGGGAGGCGGGUCACUGCGAUGCCGGAAAAACUCCCAGUACAGGAGAGAACAAAGAGAAUCCAGCAGGAAGGGACUGGUUACUGAGUAGCAGGAUUAAGCAAGGAGUUCUGUUUAAAAAAAAACAAAGACUGUCCCUGGCCAGAAAGGAGCAGAUGGGAAAAAGGAGAAGGUUCUGGAGGAGUGGGAAAGGCAGACCGGGCGCCCGCCAGGCACAGGAAGAUGAAACACUUGUGGUUGAACGGAAUACAUAACAUAUGUAGCCAUAUAAAUGUACGUAUUCAUUGUCAAAUUGGCCGCUGAUGCGGGGGAAAGAGCUUGAAAAGCCUUCACGUAGAGGUUACAAGUCUACACAAAACUUCACCAAAUACAAAACAAGAGAAAAACAAAACCCAUCUUUCUCUCUCUUUCAAAGAGCCUCCCUAUAAAACAAACACGUCAGAUGCUGGGUAAAACAUUUUACUGAAUCAACGUGGUUUAGAGCAGCACCGUCCAGUUCAAAGCUGGCCAUGCCCAAGGCAUGCAGAAAGUUCCCAGGCCGGAGAUCAAACCCUCACCACAGCAGUGACCCAAGCCGCUGCAGUGACCAUGCCAGAUCCUUAACCCGCUGCACAACCAGGGAACUCCAGAGGCUAAUGUAACUAGGGAACUAAAUUUUAAAAGGUUAUUUAAGUGGGAGUUCCUGUCGUGGUGCAGUGGUUAACGAAUCCAACUAGGAACCAUGAGGUUGUGGGUUCGAUCCCUGGCCUUGCUCCGUGGGUUAAGGAUCCAGCGUUGCUGUGAGCUGUGGUGUAGGUUGCAGACGCAGCUCGAAUUCUGCGUUGCUGUGGCUCUGGCGUAGGUCAGCAGCUACAGCUCCGAUUUGACCCCUAGCUUGGGAACCUCCAUAUGCCACGAGAGCGGCCCAAGAAAUGGCAAAAAGACCAAAAUAAAUAAAUAAAUAAAUAAAUGGUUAUUUAAGUUAAAUUUAAGCAGCCCCAUGUGGCUAGCAGGCUGCUGUAUUGGACAGCGUAGGUCUAUGGUAUUUUUUUCUCUAGUAAUCUUGAUGCAUAAAUUUUUUUAGGGCCGCACCCGAGGCAUAUGGAGGUUUCCAGGCUAGGGGUCCAAUUGGAGCUACAGCUGUCGGCCCACACCACAGCCACAGCAACGCCAGAUCCAAGCCGUGUCUGUGAGCUACACAGCAGCUCAGGGCAACAGCUCAUGGCUGGCUCAUGGCCGGAUCCCUAACCCACUGAGCGAGGCCAGGGAUCAAACCCGCAACCUCAUGGUUCCUGGUCGGAUGGUUUCCGCUGCGCCACAACGGGAACUCGGAGAAUCCAAAAUUUGAUCAGAUUUUCAAACCUUCCCUUUUCUUGCGAGGAUAAGCUGAACCACGUAAUUCACGUCGGAUACAUGGCCAUCAUUCAGCAAAUGUUAGAGCAGUCAACUCCCCUGCCCCCGCCCCCCGCCGCGCCCCAUGCCUGCUGUGAACAGUUAUAAUUUGAGGACAGAACUCCUCCCACAGAAAGGAGGGUCAGGAGCGCCAUCGCUCCAAGCGUCUGUCUGUGUCACGGUGUUUACGUGGUUUAAUCCAGAAAUAACUCAGGGAUCCAAGGAGCUUCCUGAUGCCGUUAGGCUGAAACCGAGUACAUCAGGUCACCAUCUCGAGGCCGCCAAAGGCACUGAGGGGGUUUUCUGUAAGAUCCGUGGGUACAGGUGCGAAUGCGGCCCGAGCACUACCCAUUCCUGGGACUCUGAAAGGGGUCCCAGAAUAGGGGGUGGCCUCUCAUGGAGGGUAUUUGUUUUGCAAGUAACCAAAGGGAAUGGGGGCGUCAGUGAGCUUUUUAAAUAGAAACCAAGAAUUAAAACUGAGUCCCUCUGUGCACCAAAAUGUCCUUGCUUAAAUUGCAAGGCGUAAGUAAAAUAAAUUGGCUAUAAAAGGGAGGAUUAUAUCAACUGUAAAAUUCGACCCGGGGACUAGGAAAAGUGACUGUGAUUAAAAGGUGUGUGUGGUGGGGGUGGCUUGAUCCUUGUUUUCUCAUGUGUCCUUUGAAGGUGAAAACGAACCAAUUUUCUCUGGCCUUCAAGCUGUCAAAGAGGUUGAAAAAAAAAACAAAACCUGUCUGAAAAAUAAACAAAUGGGACCUGCAAUCUCCCUUCAGGAGAUGGGGAGAAAAUACUCCAUCUAAAGCCCUUAAGUAUUUCCUGGUGACUUUACCUCAAUUAGUAACUAUCCACUAGCUAUGAGACUGGGGGUAGGGGUGACAGGUGGGUGCCAGAGGUGUUCCCGAUCACCAGCUAGGUGAGAAGAAAGAAGAAAACGUGAGACGCUAAGAGAAUUCAGUGUUGACUGUGCAAGACAAUUUUACGGCCAGAAAACCCACUAGCAUGUGCUAAGUGGAGGGGCCUCCAAGGUGGAAGAGGCUGGUGGGGCUGAGGCCAGAAAGGACCACGAGGAGGCCGGAGCCCGUCCUGCUUUGUGGGAGCCAGGAGCGGGCGGGGGGCGGGGAGUGGGGUGGGCAGGAGGGGGUGUGGGCUCCGGGCGGGCGUGAGGAUGACGUCAGCUUUGAGGAAACCUGUUUGAACAUGGUAUGGGGCGGCAGGGGAGGGAGGCCAGGCUCGAAAUGGGAACAAAGGGAACAGAGGGAAAGAUAAACCUGAAAGCCUCUCAAAGAACUGCAGAGACCUGGGGGUGGCGGGUAACACUGCAGAGCAGAGAGCUGAGCAGGAAGUCACUCUGGCCACAAGCUCCACUGCCCGGGGCACCAGCGCGGGGAUGGGAAGAGGUUUUCGACUGUUAAGGUGGUACACUCGGCAAGUGCAGAGAUGGAGUGGGGUGAGAAGGGAAGGUCUCGGGACGAGGGGACCGGGGUACGGGGAGCAAUCAGGCUCAUGAGUGCAGGUGGGCUAGAACCCGCCCUGGGGCGGGGGUGGGGGCCGAGAUUCAGAGACAAGAGGGUCCAGAAGAGUGCCCAUUCUGAGCCGCAGACACAGGAACAAAGGCUGGCGGGCACGAGGUCCCCAGGAAGGGGGAGGACCCGGUAUCCUAAUAGAUGGGAAAACAUGAGCAACAAGGGGGCAUAAAGCGCUUCUGAGUCCGAAAGAUGCAAGAAUCAGGAAAACACCUGGGGGAGCUGAAGGCAGCUCACAGUGGAAUGGCCUUAACCUUGAGCACACAGUAGGCACUUAACUAUCCUACCGAUUAGCAAUCUCAAAACAGGCAACAGGUCGUA
rnacentral:lncRNA from 1 species